CCGGAGCAGGGACCGGGCGUGCUCGUUCAGUCCUGUGCGCACUCGGAAUGGGGCCGGGGAAGGCUGAGCCUCAGGGCGACCCUGAUGUGGAGCCGUGCGACCGCUCACUGCGGUUGAAGAGACCCAGGCGCAGACAGCGCAGGCGGUUUAGACAUAUACUUAGGAGUGGAUUGCUGGGUUUUAAGUGAUAAGGAGCGAAGCUGGGAGACCUGUUCUUCAGAGAUGAGCCCAACCAGGAAGUGAGAAACAAGGUUGUGGAUGAUGACACAAGUCUCCCUAGCAACAACUCUGCAGAGGCGCGCAAGCUCAAGGCCGAGGACUCACCAAGUGGGAGUGAGCAGAUACUUUCCUGAAUGCCUGAGCAAUGGUGAAACAGAGAGGUCUGAGCAAGGGAAGUAAAGGAUGGUGUAAAACAAUCCCAAGACAACUGGCAAAGCAACUGAAGUCACUGGAGGCUUUCUUUUUCCCCUCUCAUCCUGGAAAACUUACUGGCAGCUGAAAGAGACAGACUUAUCUUCUCUGAUGAUCUCGGAAGCCAGAUGACCUGGUCUGUCAGAAGGAAAGAAGACUGUCCACCUUAUUUAUGAGUAUAGAGAGCAUCACUGAAAGCAUCUUCAACCUGACAAGCAUCAAUGAAAACAACUGCUGGAUUCAGAGGGAGACUUCCAGGCCACAUGCUACUAACGAGAUUCUCAGCACAAGAAAAAAGAAAAGAGUACAGAGCAAUGGAGAUGGGGAACGGGAGAGCUAGAAAAGUGCUGGACAAGGAGGGAGAAGUAGUUAAGCCACAGGAUUACAUACAAGAGUCACCGUCAAGAAUCACAAAGAGAAAUGAGAGUCACUGACGCUGCCGUGCACCUGGCUGAAUUCUCUGUUGAAAGUGUGGGUGAGAAGUUGCAGGCACUAAAGAAGAGAAAGAGAAGUGCAAGCUGAACAUAAAAUGUCAACAGCCAG
rnacentral:lncRNA from 10 species